rnacentral:rRNA from 1 species
AUUGAACGCUGGCGGCAUGCUUUACACAUGCAAGUCGAACGGUAACAGGGUGCUUGCACCGCUGACGAGUGGCGAACGGGUGAGUAAUGCGCCGGAACGUGCCGAGUAGUGGGGGAUAACGCAUCGAAAGGUGUGCUAAUACCGCAUACGUACUGAGGUAGAAAGUGGGGGACCUUCGGGCAUCACGCUAUUCGAGCGGCCGACGUCUGAUUAGCUAGUUGGUGAGGUAAAGGCGCACCAAGGCGACGAUCAGUAGCGGGUCUGAGAGGAUGAUCCGCCACACUGGGACUGAGACACGGCCCAGACUCCUACGGGAGGCAGCAGUGGGGAAUUUUGGACAAUGGGCGCAAGCCUGAUCCAGCCAUGCCGCGUGUCUGAAGAAGGCCUUCGGGUUGUAAAGGACUUUUGUCCGGGAGCAAAUGCCUGGUGUUAAUAGCACUGGGAGCUGAGAGUACCGGAAGAAUAAGCACCGGCUAACUACGUGCCAGCCGCCGCAGUAACAC